rnacentral:rRNA from 1 species
GUGGGGAAUAUUGGACAAUGGGCGAAAGCCUGAUCCAGCAAUGCCACGUGAGUGAUGAAGGCCUUAGGGUUGUAAAGCUCUUUUACCCGGGAUGAUAAUGACAGUACCGGGAGAAUAAGCUCCGGCUAACUCCGUGCCAGCAGCCGCGGUAAUACGGAGGGAGCUAGCGUUGUUCGGAAUUACUGGGCGUAAAGCGCACGUAGGCGGCUUUGUAAGUUAGAGGUGAAAGCCUGGAGCUUAACUCCAGAACUGCCUUUAAGACUGCAUCGCUUGAAUCCAGGAGAGGUGAGUGGAAUUCCGAGUGUAGAGGUGAAAUUCGUAGAUAUUCGGAAGAACACCAGUGGCGAAGGCGGCUCACUGGACUGGUAUUGACGCUGAGGUGCGAAAGCGUGGGGAGCAAACAGGAUUAGAAACCCGUGUAGUCC